UGGUGCUUGCACCUGAUUGACGAUGGAUCACCAGUGAGUGGCGGACGGGUGAGUAACACGUAGGUAACCUGCCCCGGAGCGGGGGAUAACAUUUGGAAACAGAUGCUAAUACCGCAUAACAACAAAAGCCACAUGGCUUUUGUUUGAAAGAUGGCUUUAGCUAUCACUCUGGGAUGGACCUGCGGUGCAUUAGCUAGUUGGUAAGGUAACGGCUUACCAAGGCGAUGAUGCAUAGCCGAGUUGAGAGACUGAUCGGCCACAAUGGAACUGAGACACGGUCCAUACUCCUACGGGAGGCAGCAGUAGGGAAUCUUCCACAAUGGGCGCAAGCCUGAUGGAGCAACACCGCGUGAGUGAAGAAGGGUUUCGGCUCGUAAAGCUCUGUUGUUGGAGAAGAACGUGCGUGAGAGUAACUGUUCACGCAGUGACGGUAUCCAACCAGAAAGUCACGGCUAACUACGUGCCAGCAGCCGCGGUAAUACGUAGGUGGCAAGCGUUAUCCGGAUUUAUUGGGCGUAAAGCGAGCGCAGGCGGUUGCUUAGGUCUGAUGUGAAAGCCUUCGGCUUAACCGAAGAAGUGCAUCGGAAACCGGGCAACUUGAGUGCAGAAGAGGACAGUGGAACUCCAUGUGUAGCGGUGGAAUGCGUA
rnacentral:rRNA from 1 species